CCUAGAACUCGAGAUAUGGGCUGAAUAAUGAAUAGUGUCUGGGCUGCAGGACAUAUUUCGACAUCUUUGUUGUUGCUACAAUUUGAACUUGAAAAUGACCUUUUUGAAUCUUGAACUCUUCAUGAAAGUUUUAGGCAUAUGUCUUAGCUUUCCAUC
rfam:Populus trichocarpa scaffold_8_contig_232, whole genome shotgun sequence.